GAUGAACGCUGGCGGCGUGCCUAAUACAUGCAAGUCGAGCGAACGGACGAGAAGCUUGCUUCUCUGAUGUUAGCGGCGUACGGGUGAGUAACACGUGGAUAACCUACCUAUAAGACUGGGAUAACUUCGGGAAACCGGAGCUAAUACCGGAUAAUAUUUUGAACCGCAUGGUUCAAAAGUGAAAGACGGUCUUGCUGUCACUUAUAGAUGGAUCCGCGCUGCAUUAGCUAGUUGGUAAGGUAACGGCUUACCAAGGCAACGAUGCAUAGCCGACCUGAGAGGGUGAUCGGCCACACUGGAACUGAGACACGGUCCAGACUCCUACGGGAGGCAGCAGUAGGGAAUCUUCCGCAAUGGGCGAAAGCCUGACGGAGCAACGCCGCGUGAGUGAUGAAGGUCUUCGGAUCGUAAAACUCUGUUAUUAGGGAAGAACAUAUGUGUAAGUAACUGUGCACAUCUUGACGGUACCUAAUCAGAAAGCCACGGCUAACUACGUG
rnacentral:rRNA from 1 species